AGCGCGGUAGCUCAGCUGGAAGAGCAUUGGAAUGCCAAAGUUCCUGAGGUUCAAGGCUCGGCUGCGUCA